CUGCGAGUGAAGAGGGAAGAGCUCAUCAUUGGAAUCUGGCAGUGUUGCACUGUUCGAGUUGUAGAUGAGGAGUAGUCCGUCUGGACUGCAUGGCGUCCAAGUACAAUAGGCCGUCAGUGGGACAUCAUAGAGGGUGACAAUCCCGUCCUUGACGCCAAUGUGCAAGUCUAUUACGAUGGCUAUCUCAGAGAGUCGAGCAGUUUGGGAUUUGCUGCUUAAACAUGGGAGGUAGAUUCCUUCUAAAGCUAAAUACAGGCGAGAGACCGAUAGAGAACAAGUACCGCAAGGGAAAGAUGAAAUAGCACUCUGUGAAGGGAGUCAAAAGGCGUGAAAUUGUUGCGAGAGAAGCGAUUCAAGUCAGCGUAGCUAGGCCCAUCAAGCGUCUUCGCUUUGGACUAGCUUUGCCAGCGGUCUUGUCCCUUGAAGAGACUUGACUUGUAAUAUGUCCAGCCUGGCGUGCACAGGCAGCCCCUUCUGGGGGCCAGUGGCAUGGCUGGUGGAAUGGCUUGCAAUCGACCCGUCUUGAAACACGGACCAAGGAGUCUAACAUGUAUGCGAGUAUAAGGGUGGCAAACCCGUAUGCGCAAUGAAAGUGAUUUUCGGUGAUUGAGAAUGGCCUGAUGACCAGACAAGCAAUAUAUGUCCCUCGUACGGCCAUUGCCCAAGUUCCGUGGUAGAUCCCACGAACAUGGAGUUGGAGCAUACAUGCUAGGACCCGAAAGAUGGUGAACUAUGCCUGGACAAAGCGAAGCCAAAGGAAACUCUGGUGGAGGCUUGUAGCGAUUCUGACGUGCAAAUCGAUCGUCUGAUCUGGGUAUAGGGGCGAAAGACUAAUCGAACCAUCUCAUAGCU
rnacentral:rRNA from 1 species